rnacentral:rRNA from 1 species
GACGAACGCUGGCGGCGUGCCUAAUACAUGCAAGUCGAGCGAGACUCUUCGGAGUCUAGCGGCGGGCGGGUGAGUAACACGUGGGCAACCUGCCUGUAAGACUGGGAUAACACCGGGAAACCGGUGCUAACACCGGAUAAUCCUUUUCCUCUCAUGGGGAAAAUCGGAAAGUCGGUUUCGGCUGACACUUACAGAUGGGCCCGCGGCGCAUUAUCUAGUUGGUGAGGUAACGGCUCACCAAGGCGACGAUGCGUAGCCGACCCGAGAGGGUGAUCGGCCACACUGGGACUGAGACACGGCCCAGACUCCUACGGGAGGCAGCAGUAGGGAAUCUUCCACAAUGGACGAAAGUCUGAUGGAGCAACGCCGCGUGAGCGAUGAAGGCCUUCGGGUCGUAAAGCUCUGUUGUUAGGGAAGAACAAGUACCGGAGUAACUGCCGGUACCUUGACGGUACCUAACCAGAAAGCCACGGCUAACUACGUGCCAGCCGCCGCAGUAAUAC